rnacentral:rRNA from 1 species
CCUACGGGAGGCAGCAGUGGGGAAUCUUGCGCAAUGGGGGCAACCCUGACGCAGCCAUGCCGCGUGAAUGAUGAAGGCCUUAGGGUUGUAAAGUUCUUUUGCCCGUGACGAUGAUGACGGUAACGGGAGAAUAAGCUCCGGCUAACUUCGUGCCAGCAGCCGCGGUAAUACGAAGGGGGCUAGCGUUGUUCGGAAUUACUGGGCGUAAAGCGCGCGCAGGCGGUUCGAUAAGUUAGGGGUGAAAUCCCUGGGCUCAACCCAGGAAUGGCCUUUAAGACUGUCGAGCUAGAGGACGAGAGAGGUGAGUGGAAUUCCCAGUGUAGAGGUGAAAUUCGUAGAUAUUGGGAAGAACACCGGUGGCGAAGGCGGCUCACUGGCUCGUUUCUGACGCUGAGGCGCGAAAGCGUGGGGAGCAAACAGGAUUAGAUACCCUGGUAGUCCACGCCCUAAACGAUGAGUGCCAGGUGUCGGGAAGCUUAGCUUCUCGGCGCCGCAGCUAACGCCUUAAGCACUCCGCCUGGGGAGUACGGCCGCAAGGUUAAAACUCAAAUGAAUUGACGG